rnacentral:rRNA from 1 species
GACGAACGCUGGCGGCGCGCCUAACACAUGCAAGUCGAACGAGCGAGCGAGAGCUUGCUUUCUCCAGCGAGUGGCGAACGGGUGAGUAACGCGUGAGGAACCUGCCUCAAAGAGGGGGACAACAGUUGGAAACGACUGCUAAUACCGCAUAAGCCCACGACCCGGCAUCGGGUAGAGGGAAAAGGAGCAAUCCGCUUUGAGAUGGCCUCGCGUCCGAUUAGCUAGUUGGUGGGGUAACGGCCCACCAAUGCGACGAUCGGUAGCCGGACUGGGAGGUUGGACGGCCACAUUCGGACUGAGACACGGCCCAGACUCCUACGGGAGGCAGGAGUGGGGAAUAUUGCACAGUGGGGGAAACCCUGAUGCAGCGACGCCGCGUGGAGGAAGAAGGUAUUCGGAUUGUAAACUCCUGUUGUCGAGGAAGAUAAUGACGGUACUCAACAAGGAAGUGACGGCUAACUACGUG